AGAGUUUGAUCAUGGCUCAGAGCGAACGCUGGCGGCAUGCUUAACACAUGCAAGUCGCACGGGCACUUCGGUGUCAGUGGCGGACGGGUGAGUAACGCGUAGGUAUCUAUCCUCAGGUGGGGGACAACCGUGGGAAACUACGGCUAAUACCGCAUGAUAACUGAGGUUUAAAGGCGCAAGUCGCCUGGGGAGGAGCCUGC
rnacentral:rRNA from 1 species